rnacentral:lncRNA from 1 species
UUACAUAGUAGAACAAUAGAAACAGAUAUGCAGCAAGCGGACCAUUCAACUGAGCGUGAGUCAAAUCGCACGGUGCAUUUCAAUUAAUAUUAGAAUUAGAAGUAAAGGUACAGUGUGCACGCACAACAAAACAAAUAAUGGGAGGGGAAGGAAAGGAGAAAGGGUAUAUGUAUUUGCAGCGCUUAGCAAGAUAGGUGCGAUCAAACUAGCACUAAUGCACUGGAUUU